AGAGCUUGCUCUCGGGUGACGAGUGGCGGACGGGUGAGUAAUGUCUGGGAAACUGCCUGAUGGAGGGGAAUAACAAGGAAGCAGCUUGCUGCUUCGCUGACGAGUGGCGGACGGGUGAGUAAUGUCUGGGAAACUGCCUGAUGGAGGGGGAUAACUACUGGAAACGGUGGCUAAUACCGCAUAACGUCGCAAGACCAAAGAGGGGGACCUUCGGGCCUCUUGCCAUCAGAUGUGCCCAGAUGGGAUUAGCUUGUUGGUGAGGUAACGGCUCACCAAGGCGACGAUCCCUAGCUGGUCUGAGAGGAUGACCAGCCACACUGGAACUGAGACACGGUCCAGACUCCUACGGGAGGCAGCAGUGGGGAAUAUUGCACAAUGGGCGCAAGCCUGAUGCAGCCAUGCCGCGUGUAUGAAGAAGGCCUUCGGGUUGUAAAGUACUUUCAGCGGGGAGGAAGGUGUUGUGGUUAAUAACCGCAGCAAUUGACGUUACCCGCAGAAGAAGCACCGGCUAACUCCGUGCCAGCAGCCGCGGUAAUACGGAGGGUGCAAGCGUUAAUCGGAAUUACUGGGCGUAAAGCGCACGCAGGCGGUCUGUCAAGUCGGAUGUGAAAUCCCCGGGCUCAACCUGGGAACUGCAUUCGAAACUGGCAGGCUUGAGUCUUGUAGAGGGGGGUAGAAUUCCAGGUGUAGCGGUGAAAUGCGUAGAGAUCUGGAGGAAUACCGGUGGCGAAGGCGGCCCCCUGGACAAAGACUGACGCUCAGGUGCGAAAGCGUGGGGAGCAAACAGGAUUAGAUACCCUGGUAGUCCACGCCGUAAACGAUGUCUACUUGGAGGUUGUGCCCUUGAGGCGUGGCUUCCGGAGCUAACGCGUUAAGUAGACCGCCUGGGGAGUACGGCCGCAAGGUUAAAACUCAAAUGAAUUGACGGGGGCCCGCACAAGCGGUGGAGCAUGUGGUUUAAUUCGAUGCAACGCGAAGAACCUUACCUGGUCUUGACAUCCACAGAACUUUCCAGAGAUGGACUGGUGCCUUCGGGAACUGUGAGACAGGUGCUGCAUGGCUGUCGUCAGCUCGUGUUGUGAAAUGUUGGGUUAAGUCCCGCAACGAGCACUGGCAUUCCUGCUGAACCGCUCUUCCGAUCUAAGCUCGUGUUGUGAAAUGUUGGGUUAAGUCCCGCAACGAGCGCAACCCUUAUCCUUUGUUGCCAGCG
rnacentral:rRNA from 1 species